rnacentral:misc_RNA from 1 species
GGGGUCUGCAUCAACUCUGAGGAGUGAUGAGCAUUGGAACAACCUGGUGGAAAGUGCUGAGAAGAGAGAUCUUGUAUUCAAGGUCUCCAAGCCUUACGCUUCAUUUUUCAGUGAUUCAAAUCUUGAAUCUAUGAAGGUUCCUGAUAACUUGCUAGGAGUGCCUGAUCAAGAUCUCGAUGAUGAUGUUAUAAUGCAUGGUAUCAUUGACGAUGCCGACCUAGGGCAAGCAGAUGAGCAUGACAUGGAUGACAUGGAUGAUGGGUUCAACGGUGCUGAAGAUGACUAAGUUUGCUAGCAAAUAAACAAUCAUUUCACCAUGUAAAUUGUUAGUUUUAGCCGAUUGGUGUUGCAUAUCUCCAAGAGUAAUGGUAAUAGCAAAGGAGAAAACAAGAAUGCUGAGAAAGCUGCGUAUGCAACUCUGCUGGCGAGGAGGCAAGGGAAAACAAGGCAGAACAGAUACUUGGAUAUAUUGAUUAUCUAGUCAUUGCAUGAGAUGGCAAGACUAAUAGCUAGUUGUUUUCUAUGAGAACUGUUUGGGGGAGUUUCUUGAGGGACAGACAUAGAGCUGCCGACCUUGUAAUGCCACCAUGUCAUUCCCACAAGCUUCUCGAUUAAAGGGGUAAAAAAGGAAG